ACAAGGUUAAAUGGACAAGGCUGAAUGGCCCUGUGAUGGGGAGUGCCUUUAAGCCACAUGACGGAAAUGAAACAGGAGCCAUAAUGACCAUGACUGGAGGAGAAUCAGAUUCUGGCCUGGCCUGGUUCUGUGAGAUACCUUAAAUCAUACUUUCUGUAGCAUCCCUUAAAGGUGGGUAGAGAGAAGGAGAGAGUUAAGUGUGGGUGCAGUCAUCCUCAGGAUGGUUGAUCUCUAAAUCUAUUCUUGGGCAAAAGUUUAGAGAAAAGCUGAAUCACUCAGCCCAGAGGAAGCCUGAGGAGGCAUAAAGAAGUCUUGGAAAUCCCCUGAAAAAAAGAAUCAGAUAUCACCUCCAUAGGAAGCUGUCUCUCUGCUUUAGAGCAAGAAUCAACAAACUUUUUCUGUAAAGAGCCAGAUACUGUAGGCUAACCCAAGAAGAAUAAAGCAUCGGCUUCCCUGACAUGCUGCUCCCCCCAAAACAGAGUGCCAAUAUGAUUCCAAGGUUCUUAGCACACUGUAUAUUACCUCACUCCUCCUACAGCUGGAGCCUCUUUGUACCUGGUCCUAUUUUCCUCCUUCUCCAGAGACAACUGUGCUCAUGAUUUUGUGGUCUGGAACUGAACUUGCAAUUUCUCCAAGAUAUGUCGGUAUCUCUCUCCAUGCUGUGCUGCGUGGGCUUUGGGAGCGGUGAUGUGGACCAUUUGAAAUUGUCCUUGCUACCUCUUUAAUGCAUAUUUUUAUAUUUCUAUGCUCCACCCAAGUGCUGUAGUCUCUCAACUGCCUUCUUUUUGUUCUUCAGCUUUUAUGAAGCUAUUUUCAAGUGUGAGUAGUUGUCCAAAUUCAUGUUUCUUGAGGGAACAAGUGACUUGUUUGUAAGUUGACUUGUAUAUCUUUUUAUAGCUGAGAUUUUAUCCUGUGAUCUUACUAACUCAGGAAUUUUUUGGAGAUUCUUUGCAGUUUUCUAAGUAGAAUAACCAUAUUAUAUUUAUUAUUAUUUUCCUUCUUACUUUGGUUUUAAUUUGCUCUUUUUUUACAUGUUUUCUGAGUUAGAAACUUAGGUUAUUGAUUUGAUACCCUUAUUCCUUUAUAACAUAUGCAUUUGAUUGUGUAAGUUUUUCUCUAAGCACUGCUUUAGUGCAUCCCACAAAUUUUGAUCUGUUGUAUAUUUUUUAUUUACUUUAAUAUAUCUUCU
rnacentral:lncRNA from 1 species